rnacentral:rRNA from 1 species
UACGUAGGGUGCAAGCGUUGUCCGGAAUUAUUGGGCGUAAAGAGCUCGUAGGCGGCUUGUCGCGUCGGCUGUGAAAACCUGGGGCUCAACCCCGGGCCUGCAGCCGAUACGGGCAAGCUAGAAUUCGGUAGGGGAGACCGGAAUUCCUGGUGUAGCGGUGAAAUGCGCAGAUAUCAGGAGGAACACCGAUGGCGAAGGCAGGUCUCUGGGCCACUACUGACGCUGAGAAGCGAGAGCAUGGGGAGCGAACAGG